rnacentral:rRNA from 2 species
GGAGGAAAAGAACUAACAAGGAUUCCCCUAGUAACUGCGAGUGAAGCGGGAAAAGCUCAAAUUUAAAAUCUGGCGGUCUCUGGCCGUCCGAGUUGUAAUCUAGAGAAGUGCUGCCCGCGCUGGACCGUGUACAAGUCUCCUGGGAUGGAGCGUCAUAGAGGGUGAGAAUCCCGUCUCUGACACGGACUACCAGGGCUUUGUGGUACGCUCUCAAAGAGUCGAGUUGUUUGGGAAUGCAGCUCAAAAUGGGUGGUAAAUUCCAUCUAAAGCUAAAUAUUGGCGAGAGACCGAUAGCGAACAAGUACCGUGAGGGAAAGAUGAAAAGAACUUUGGAAAGAGAGUUAAACAGUACGUGAAAUUGCUGAAAGGGAAACGCUUGAAGUCAGUCGCAUUGGCUGGGGAUCAGCCUCGCUCUUUUGCGUGGUGUACUUCCUAGUUGAUGGGUCAGCAUCAAUUUUGACCGCUGGAAAAAGGCUUGAGGAAUGUGGCAGCUCAGGCUGUGUUAUAGCUUCUUGUCAYAUACAGCGGUUGGGAUUGAGGAACUCAGCACGCCGCAAGGCCGGGUUUCGACCACGUUCGUGCUUAGGAUGCUGGCAUAAUGGCUUUA